rnacentral:tRNA from 1 species
CCCUGUGUGGCACACACGGUUAAUGCGCUUGGCUGCUAACCAAGAAGUUGGAGGUUCCAGUCCAUCCAGAGGCA